CUAGAGUUAUCCGACAACGAUUUAUUAUUAUACAGUUAUUAUUUACGAACGCGUAAUAUUGUUGGUACUUAAUAUAUAUACUUAAUCAACUAUAUUCUUUUAAUUUUUAAAAUAUUAUUUGUCAUUAUUUUGAAAAUGGAAAUUACGUAUGUGCAGCAUUGGAAUUUUUAUAGAUUCACCACAAUUAAUAAAUAUAUUUAUACAAAGGCAGCAUGCAAAUACAUAUUAUUAUUCUGGGUCGUCGAGACAACAACGAAUAAAACGCUGCAGUGAGCGCAUUGUCAAGCGUAAAGAUUGUUAUGAAAAAAUAUUUAUAGUUAAUAUUGAACAAUUUUAUUUUAACAAAAUUUAGAACAGCGAUUAGUUUUUCAAUUUUAACUCGACAAUCAUAAUGUUAAUUUAUACAAUCUUCGAUAUGCCGGUUGCCCGGUUACCGCGAAUAAUAUUAUAUUCAUGUUGGAGGUGAUCGUGUACCACGUGACUUUGACGGACUAGAUCCGGAUGCAUAAUACAUAUCCGGUGUGCGUUUGUUUCCGGUACCCGUUGCUGGUUGAAUUGGUGGUAAGCGAAAGUGGCUUUUGUUCCUACGGCAGGGUUGGUGGUGGCGAAAUAGUGAUGACCAACGACAAGUCGUGUUUGUUUGCGAUCAGCACCGCGGACCUUUGUCGGGCGGCUCGAGACUUUCGCGCAGGAAUCAACGUGAACAGACGAAGAGUUGGUGAACAGCAAAUGCGAUACAUCGCACAGACGCAUAAUCUCGAGUUCGACCGGACGUUUACCGAUAUCAUACUGAACCCCGACCGGGUUGAGAGGUUUCGGAAACUGAAAAAGGGUCUUGCAAUUGUACGGUAAUGGCCGUCUGAAUCCCAUUGGCAGCAUAGAACUCUUCGUCCGUUUGACUUCGCGUGGUGAUUUACUCGUUUCAACCGUGCUCCGGCGUAAUAUAAAUCUGUUCCUGUUGAAACGUCGAUGAUAAAUUGUUCCGAAAGAAGACCUCAUGACUCCAAGAAAAUACGCAAACACAAAACUUCGUGUAAGAAUAAACGACCCAAGUGCAGGCAAGGCAAUCACUGUGAACCACGAGGAAGCUUAAAGAAUACGGAAAAGGGUAAUGAAUUAAUAAUAUUAUAAUUAAAGCUGUGCUUAAAAUGUAUAUAAUUAUUUCCAUUUAUAACUUAAAUUGUAUUGGGUAUACCUUGUUUUUUGAUUUUGAAAUGAUUUUAAAACACUGACUAAUUAAAAUAGUUACUCUAGCUAGAUCAAAAUUAUUUAAAUCAUUCAAUAAUUAUUUGACAUUUAAUCAAAUUUAACCUUGAGGCUGUUGAAAGCGAACCAUUUUUAAGGGGUCAUAUUUAGGCAAUAUAAUUCGAUAUCCUUCGUAAAUUAAGUGUAACUUCUGUGCGUGUUGUAAUUGAUCAUUAGUGUGCGGCGUGAGUUCCCCGAACGCUUUAUGUAAUUAAAGAUAGACUGCGGGCUAAGAUUCUUUUAAAUCAGUGUCGUACUUACACGCAGUUACUUGUCACUCAAUUUUUCGAUAAAAAUAAUGUUUACAUGAAAAUCCCAAAAAUCGAAAGAAAAAUUCACCCAGUACCAAAAGUUUGAUUUUAAUUUGAAAAACAUAUAUUUUGAAUUCCUUAUUUUCUUUUUUGGGUUUUGUAGGAAAUGAACUUUCGAUUUUUUGUAUUAUUUGAUUACCAUAGUAACAAAUGAAUUAUAUUUGUGUACAUAUAAGGACGGCUGUUCGCAGCGUUUUGAAACGGACUGUUCACAUAAUAUACUUAAAAAAAAAAACAAAAGUUCAUAAUUUGUACAUUCUUGUCUUUAAGCUUUUCAUUAUUUUAUGUAACAUAACAUUUAUUGGUUAAACAAAAUAUGAUUAACGUCUUACUGAUUAGCGCAAGUUUUUCGUGUCGUGAAAGUGUGUAUGUUGGACGCAUAGAAAAGAGAUACGGUUGGACGACCGUGGUUACCCAUAGGGCCAAUGGCCAUAGAGUACUCUAAAUUCUAAUCCAUGGCGGCACAAACUUUAUGACGUUACCGCACAAUAUGCAGGACACUCUCAGUGUCGCCAACACCACAUCGGUUAUGUCCUGUUAAUAUAUUAUGUCGUUACUCGUUUUAGUGUUUCGUUUCUUUGAGCUUCGUCGAGGUCACAAUGAUUGCCUCGCCUUGGGACGUUUAUUCUUACACGAAGUUUUGUGUUUGCAUAUUUUCUCGGAGUCGUAAAGUCUUCAUGCGGAACAAUUUAUUGUCGACAUUUCAACGGGAACAGAUUUAUACUGAUUUUUUUUGCUAUCCGGAACACGGUUGAAAUAGGUUACUACCAAAUCACCUUGCAACCAAAAUGCAGGCGAACAAAUCAACCCGGUCGGGGUUCAGUAUGACGUCUGGUCGAACUCGAGAUGCGUUUGUGUGACGUAUCGCAUUUGCUGUUCAACGGACAACGACUAUUCGCCUGUUCACGUUGAUUCCUGCGCAAAAGUACCAAGCAGCUCGACAAAGGUCCGCGGUGCUGAUCGCGAACAAGCAUGACUUGCCGUUGGCCAUAACUAUUUGCUGUUUGGCCAACCUUGCCGUCGGAGCAAAAGCCACCUUCGCAUACCACCAAUUCAAUCAGCCCCGGGACCCGGAAACAAACGCACACCGGACACGUAUUGCGCAAUUGGAGCUGGCCCGUAAACGUCAUGCGAUACACGAUCACUUCCCUCCAACAUGAAUGUAUUAUUUCCGAUAAUCGGUAUAUUGCAUAAAUGUAUUUCUGAAACUGUGUCAACAAAUACAAAUACGAAAAUAUGAAACAUGUAUACUGCUUAGGGCCGUUCUUACAAUGUCCGGUUAUAAGUGUCGGUUAAGACUAACCAGCAGAAUUCUAUCGGUUAACUCAUGAUAAAUUCUUCCGGUUAGCGUUAUCAAGCACAAACCGAACAUAAGGUUAGAUUAUUAUUAUUAUUAUUAUUUAGUUAUUGUAAGAACGGCCCUAAUUGUUUGAAAAAAACCACAAACAAUGUGUGAGAAGAAGGUGUAUAUUCUUUUUUUAAUUGUACAGUAUUUGGCUGCAAAUAGUUAUAAGAAACUGUUAACGGUCACCAUUUUAGUUUUCUCAGAAUCAAAAAUCGGUCGUUAAUUAAUCAUUAAUUGUUUAUUAAUUUAUUUAUUAAAUUGGUUGCUUAUAAUAUGUAUGCAUGUAUGUAUAUAAUUUACUAAACAAUGUUGAUAAACAUUAAGCCCAUAGGUAGUUGA